GGAUGAUCAGCCACACUGGAACUGAGACACGGUCCAGACUCCUACGGGAGGCAGCAGUGGGGAAUAUUGCACAAUGGAGGAAACUCUGAUGCAGCAACGCCGCGUGGAGGAUGACGCAUUUCGGUGUGUAAACUCCUUUUAUAUGGGAAGAUAAUGACGGUACCAUAUGAAUAAGCACCGGCUAACUCCGUGCCAGCAGCCGCGGUAAUACGGAGGGUGCAAGCGUUACUCGGAAUCACUGGGCGUAAAGCGCGCGCAGGCGGCCUUUUAAGUUGGAUGUGAAAGCCUACGGCUCAACCGUAGAACUGCAUCCAAAACUAUUGGGCUAGAGUGUGGGAGAGGAAGAUGGAAUUAGUUGUGUAGGGGUAAAAUCCGUAGAGAUAACUAGGAAUACCAAAAGCGAAGGCAAUCUUCUGGAACACUACUGACGCUGAGGCGCGAAAGCGUGGGGAGCAAACAGGAUUAGAUACCCUGGUAGUCCACGCCCUAAACGAUGAAUGUUAGUCGUCGGGUAGCUAGUCUAUUCGGUGAUGCAGCUAACGCAUUAAACAUUCCGCCUGGGGAGUACGGUCGCAAGAUUAAAACUCAAAGGAAUAGACGGGGACCCGCACAAGUGGUGGAGCAUGUGGUUUAAUUCGAAAAUACGCGAAGAACCUUACCUAGCCUUGACAUAUAUUAGAACACCCUAGAGAUAGAGUGGUGCCUUCGGGAGCUUUUAUACAGGUGCUGCACGGCUGUCGUCAGCUCGUGUCGUGAGAUGUUGGGUUAAGUCCCGCAACGAGCGCAACCCUCGUCACUAGUUACUAACGGUUCGGCCGAGGACUCUAGUGAGACUGCCUUCGUAAGGAGGAGGUAGGUGAGGACGACGUCAAGUCAUCAUGGCCCUUACGGCUAGGGCAACACACGUGCUACAAUGGCCAGGACAAUGAGACGCGAUACCGCGAGGUGGAGCAAAUCUAUAAACCUGGUCUCAGUUCGGAUUGUAGUCUGCAACUCGACUACGUGAAGCUGGAAUCACUAGUAAUCGUAGAUCAGCUAUGCUACGGUGAAUACGUUCCCGGGUCUUGUACUCACCGCCCGUCACACCAUGGGAGUUGAUUUCACCCGAAGCGGGGAAGCUAAACUGGCUACCCUCCACGGUGGAAUCAGCGACUGGGGUGAAGUCGAAACAAGGUAACCGUAGGAGAACCUGCGGUUG
rnacentral:rRNA from 1 species